rnacentral:lncRNA from 1 species
GUGAAAGUAAAAAGAAGAAAAACAGAGCUAAGCCAAGGAAAUGAUUUCUUUCCCACCUACAAUGCAUGAAAAGAAAUUAACAUGAAAAGGGUCUGAGGAAGACAUUAAUAUUUUGAUAGUGGCAGAAGAAUGUUAUUUACAAAAAUAAUGACAAAUGUUGAAGAGAAAAUACAGGCUUCCUAGCAACUAGACCAAAGAUAAGAUGCUGUUGAAUUCAAGAUAGACAUUUGGAAUAUACAGUUAGCUGUCAUUUGAACACAGGCCCAUGGCACAAGUUCAGAAACGUAAAGUUACAGAGAAAAUAAAGACCCCCAGAGCAAAAUCACCACAGUCUCCAUGGAAAUCAAUUGGUUCAUUCUUCGUCUUAAGAGUCCAGCAUUCACUCAACAAACAUCUUAUGCUGCCAGGUUUCUCUAAUGCAGCAGAACUUGAUCAUAAGAACCCAUCACUGAGAACAUCAUCUAUUUUGCCCAUAAGACUUGGAGAACUGAAGCAGGAACUAAGAUGGAGAUGUCCUCACCACUAACUAGCCCCUGCAGUGUUUGGAAGAUGCUAUUCACGCUGCUAGAUGAGAGAGAACAUGAACAGCCUUAUCCGGCUAUGAACUGUAGACUAGGCCCAGACAGAAGGAUAUGCCACAGCAGGAGACAGGAUCCAGAAUGAGAAUAGACAAAAGACAUUUUCAAAAGUCCAGGUUCACAGCUUGACAGAAGCCUUCACACAGAAAGAGCCAUUGCACAUUGGACAGAUGAUCCCAGAAUGGAAGUUUCCAGAGGAAAUAACAGUCAAUAAACAGCACAGGGGUUGAUCCCAGGAUUCUGUGCCUGCUAAGCAAACAUUCUGUCACAGAGCUACACCUCCCGUUCCAGAUGAAUUACUGGUGUGAUGAAUUUGACUUCAACUUAAUGACACAACUUGUAAUGUUACCAAAAAAAAAAAAAAAAAAAGGAAUAAUUCCACAAGGCAAACAUUCAAACAUAAAUCCACGAAGUUGAACGUCAUCAGCGAUCUGAUUCAUUUUAUGAUUAGAAUAACAUUCCUUAAUAAUUCUUAUAUAACAUGGCUUGAGAUACCCAAAGUACAUAUUUUCUAUCAACACAAAUGCUUCUUCACCAUGUAUCCUAGGAAAAAAAUCACCUAGGGGUGAUUAUUAAAAAAAAAAAAAAAAAUCAUUCAGAUCAUUUGGCUCAAUUCCUUCCUGACAGGCUGAUUGGAACACCUGGGUCUAGAGACCUGGAAUCUGCAUUUUUAACAAGAUCCUUCCUGAUUCACCAAGAUGCUGGGUUUUAAGGGACAUUCUUUGAAACAAAUAAAUGGAGCUUAUACAAUGUUAGGCUGAAUCUUUAGUUAGGGCAUCUAGAGGGUUAGGACACUGUCAGUUUGUUCUCCUUACUGAAUAUGUCAUAUUAUGGUACUAAACAAGAAUGGAUUCAGCACUUUGAAGGAGCAGGGGGCAGGGGGACAAGGUAAGAUUCCGUUCUUUGCUAAAGUAAAUAAUAGCGAAUUAAGAAUGAGUGGUAUAAAUUGUACUACAUUCUGAUAACUUGAAAUCUCCAAAACAGAAUAAAUUACUGACUAGUGCACUUUAAAUGGACAUCAAGAGUGUUCCAAAUUACCAAAUGUUUUGCCAUUUUGAUAAAUUGGUUUUAAUUUUUUAUCAGCCUAUAUUUAAGUACUCUCCAGUAAUGUGUGCCAGACAGUUCCAUUAGGCAUCUUCAACUGCACUUAUUUUUUUAAUGUAUGAACUGUAUAAACUAACCAUAAUUUGGAUAGUGUGGUGCCUAAUUCCAUUACACUGCUGGGAACGGCCCCUCCUGGGUUUGGGUCAGCAAGACACACUGAACUGUAAGGACAAAAAAUGUGAAAAUAUAAGGUAAGGUAUCUAUAUUUGGAUUCUGGAAAAUUAAUUCCUGAACACAAAGAGAAAAAUCAAAACCCUACCGUGUCAAAGGGAAAUGAUUUGAUGGAGAAAUGAGAAGACAUUUGGAUUGCUUCGCACAAAAGAGGUGGAGAAAGGAAGAAAGGCGCUCCCGUCCUGAGUCUUAAGAAAGCAUAAUUAACUCCUUGGCACCGACAGAUAGACUCGCACUGAAUGUGGUGUGCUGCCAGGAAAGGACACGCCUGGAGCCGCUGGCCAAGAAGAAUUACAGGCAUUCGCUACUACUUUAAAAUAUUCAUGUUUCAGCUACAACACUGCAUAUUUUCGAUUGACAGAUAUGGAAAAGAAAUUAACUUUUUCUUUCUGUCUUUCCUUGGCAUGAGCCCUGGACACAAUUAACUCCUGCAUUCACCAAAUGUGAUCGUUACCGUGGGAGAAUUCACUUUUUGGAAAUUGAGUCAUGAGUUUGUUGGGGCUUCCUCACAAAUUUGAAGGCGAUAUUUGUCCACUGAAAUCCAAUUCUUUUGCCUCUUUAGAGACCCUGAAAGAUUUCAGUACAACAAAACCGGAAGAAGCAUCCCACUCUGACACGACUUUCUCCCUACCUGGAAGUAAACAAAACAUUAGUCAAACCCCCUCCUCAAGGAUUUUUCAUAAUCAUCCAGAGAUAACUGAAGGUUAAAUAAAGACAACAUAGAUACUACAUGCACCCAAGCAAAAAUCACUGCCAAUAUUUCCUGCCAUUUCUCUCAACUGAUAACUUCUUUUAUAUGUAAAAGGCACUAGAGUUGUUUUACAAAAAGCAGAAUUAAGGACGAGAAAGAUUCACAUAAGUCUUUUCCAUUGCUAAAGAAUCAGUGUUAAAGAUUGCUUUGAGUAUCAAGAAUUACAGUUUGUGAGACGAUUAGGAAUUUGAAGUAUAUUUAAAUAACAUGUUUUUAACUCUCCUUUUGUUUUUGAUAAAGCUCUCAGUUUCAAGAUCAACCAUCCAACACUGCAAAUAUGCCCCGCCCCGCUAAGUUACAUCAAAACAAUUAAAGUAGUUGUAGAUAAACCACCUGGACUGGUCUGCACUUUUGUUGCUGUGACAAAAUACCUCACAUUACAAACUUAAUAAAGAAAAGAGGUUUAUUUCGCUCAUAUUCUUGAAACUUGAAAGUCCAGCAUAGAGAGAGGUUAUCUAUCCCAUCAGCCUCUGCUGAUGGCAUCUUGGUGGCAAGCAUCAAAAUGGUAGGUGUGUGCAAAAGAUAGAAGAGAUGGCGAGCCAGGCAGGAAUCCAAAACCACCAGAAGCAGGAAUAUGUUUCUUCACCCUAAGAACUCUCUGUCAGAACUAAGUCUGUUAGGUUGGUCUUAGUCCCUUCUCAAAGCAGCACCCUCUGCCCUAAGUCUCCUGCACUAGGACUUAUGGGAAAAUGGUCCCAUCACCUCUCAACCCUGCCACACUGAGGACCAAUCUUUAAGCACACUAGUGUUUGAGUAACUCCCUUGUAUCCUAUGUGAGCAGAGCAGACCCAGGUAUGUCUGUCUCGGAACCAGCAUAAGGACUUACAGCGGUUAGGUGCUGGUUACCUGCUGAAAGGAAAGAAAGUGGUGCUCCUCUUACAUGUCUGCUGAACAGGGUUGACUAUUUAACUCUAUGAUUCUAAAGUCACAACUUUACCCGUCGGACAGAUCCCCUGGCAAUUUGGUUUAUGGUAUUCUGCUGGUGUUAACUAGGAUUUUACUUUUUUGAAACUGUAUUCUGUUGUAAUGGGGUGUGUGUGUGUGUGUGUAUACAUGGGCAUAUCAUAUGGAGGUCAGAUAUCUACACCAGGUAUCUUUCUCAAUUCCUCCCUGCCUUAUUUUUGAGCCAUGACCUCUCAUUGAACCUGGAAUUCAUUGAUGGAGAUGACCUGCGCAUCUCCAGAACCCCGACCCCUGUCUCUGCCCUGAAGCAUUGGCAUUAACCCCAGGCUGCCACACUGCGUUUUAUAAAUGUCUGCAUUAAGUGCUAGGGUUCAGCCUCAGUUCCUCAUGCUGACAUAGCAGUCCGUUUACCUGCUAAGCCAUGCCUCCAAUCCCAAACCUUGUAUUGAUUAUGGAUCCUUUGUCACUAAACUGUAAUUAAUGACGUGCCCAACGGCUGUUGGAAAUACUGGUCAUGAUCACUCAGGGAAGCUUUGAAUUUGUCUUCCAAGUGUACACGGCUAUGGCCUCCUUUUGAUAGAGGAGCACAUGAUUUAAAUUCAGGAUGCGGCAUUGGCCGUACAGGGAAAGCAACUCAAUAAUAAUGAUCAACUCGACAUUUCAAUAGAACUGACAGUUUGCAAGGCUUCGUAUGGAUUACCGUCUUUGAUUCUUAUAAUCACCACUUGUCACAUAUAAAACACUAACAUUGUCUCCGUUUAAGCACAAAUUGAAUACUCUAGUGGACUGUGUAGUAACUGUAUAUACUAAUCUACCUGUUUAUAUUGAAAGGGAAAUUUAUACCUUAAAAAUACUCUACGAGGGAUGCUUCUUCAUUUUGAUUUGUUGGGUAGUCACAUUUUUAAAAAGGAGAGAGAGAGGCUUAUUGAUAUUUUCAUUGAACAAGAGACAUCUCCUGUCUUCUCAUUUGCUCUUUUAUUUUGUUUAUGUCUUUUAGGAAGUGAAGGGCCCCCAACCUCAAACAUUCAGAAGUAAUGGGAAUGGUCUAUGCCUGUCGUUUUUCUCUUUGCAAAUAAUAGGGCUAAAUUCCUGUCUGCAUAGAGAUAUAAUAUAUAAUAUACACAAUUUUACUGAGCAGAUUCCUAGUUCAGGUUUGCUCCUAUUAAAGAUUUGAACAGUGCUGAAAUUAGGGACUUUUUAUGAAUAUAUGUGGGGCAGAGAGUUGGAGGGGUCACGGUUUAAUAAAAAGUUCUUAAUUUCAGAUAUGCAUGCAAGUGUCUAUCUUUGAAAACCAUCUUUCAAGUUAUUAAUACACAACUCAUUGCUUGGGGAAAGAAUUUGUAACUUAACACCGCGUCUCAAUCAGCUUGAGCUGCCACAAGAAAAUGUCCUAGGCUAUGUGGCUGCAGUAACAGCAAUGCAUUUCGUCUGGGUUCUAGAGACUCCACAUCCAGGAUAAACAUUCCGGCUGCUGUGGUUUCUGGUGAGGGCUCUUCCUGCCUUCCUGAAGGUUUCUUGCUGUGUCCUCCAACACGAUAGCCUUCUUCCUGGGAGCGUAAGCAGGCACACGCACAGGAAGACAGAUGGGGAAGG